AUGUUUGUUGUUUUUGUGCAUCAUGUCUCCACAACACCAAGCUAUGAUGAAUAUCCUAGGAAGGUACUACAACAUAGAGGAAUUUCAUCCUUGAACAGUAGCUCCCAGCUGCUAGAUGCUGAAAUGAUGUCAAUCCGGCCAAGACCGAGACAAGUUGUGCAUCUUGCAGCAUAUGAAUCGUACCAAGCCGCUGGAAACCAAUAUACUGGUGCUAUGGCCACUUUUGAUGUCUAUGGUUUUCCAAACUUGGUCAAGGGUGAAUCAAGUUCAGCCCAAAUCUGGGUAAUAAAUAAAGGAAAUGGUGAAAGCGACAACGUCAACAAAAUUAUGUCUGGAUGGGAGGUCAAUCCAGACAUCUAUGGUGAUAGCAAAACACAUUUUUUUCGUAUUUUGGACGGCUGA
rnacentral:rRNA from 1 species